GUCAGGCAUUUUUUUCAUUUUUGUAGAGAGAGAAGACUUGCUAUGUUGCCCAAGCUGGCCUCAAACUCCUAGAAUCAAGAGAUCUGCCCAUCUCAGCCACAUGAGUAACUGGGGCCAUAGGUACAUACCAUCAUGCCUGGCUAUAUUUAUUUUAUUUUAUUAAAUUUAUUUUUUUUAUUUUUGUAGAGAGGAGGUCUUGCUGUGUUGCCCAGGCUGCUCUCAAACUCAUGGCCUUAAAACAUACUACUCAGCCUACAAUGCUCUUCCCUCAGCACCUUGGCCAGCUCCAUCACCUGCUUCAAACUUUUGCUCAAUAUUCACUUAUGAGGCCAACCCUGACCACUCUACUUAACACUGCCAUCUGUCCCCAUUCCCACCAUGCUCAUUUCUUUCUUUCUUUUUGAAACAAGAUCUUGCUUUAUUGCCCAGGCUGGAGUACACUGGUGCAAUCACAGCU
rnacentral:lncRNA from 1 species